UACGGAGGGUGCAAGCGUUAUCCGGAUUCACUGGGUUUAAAGGGUGCGUAGGUGGGUCUGUAAGUCAGUGGUGAAAUCUCCGUGCUUAACAUGGAAACUGCCAUUGAUACUAUAGGGCUUGAAUUAUCUGGAGGUUAGCGGAAUAUGUCAUGUAGCGGUGAAAUGCUUAGAUAUGACAUAGAACACCAAUUGCGAAGGCAGCUGGCUACAGGUACAUUGACACUGAGGCACGAAAGCGUGGGGAUCAAACAGG
rnacentral:rRNA from 1 species